rnacentral:rRNA from 1 species
ACCGGUGUGUGAAGAAGGCCUGAGGGUUGUAAAGCACUUUCAAUAGGAAGGAAUACCUAUCGGUUAAUACCCGGUAGACUGACAUUACCUAUACAAGAAGCACCGGCUAACUCCGUGCCAGCAGCCGCGGUAAUACGGAGGGUGCAAGCGUUAAUCGGAAUUACUGGGCGUAAAGCGUGCGUAGGCGGUUAUUUAAGUCAGAUGUGAAAGCCCUGGGCUUAACCUGGGAACUGCAUUUGAUACUGGAUGACUAGAGUUGAGUAGAGGAGAGUGGAAUUUCAGGUGUAGCGGUGAAAUGCGUAGAGAUCUGAAGGAACACCAGUGGCGAAGGCGGCUCUCUGGACUCAAACUGACGCUGAGGUACGAAAGCGUGGGUAGCAAACAGGAUUAGAUACCCUGGUAGUCCACGCCGUAAACGAUGUCAACUAACCGUUGGGUUCUUUAAGAACUUAGUGGUGGAGCUAACGUAUUAAGUUGACCGCCUGGGGAGUACGGGCGCAAGGCUAAAAACUCAAAUGAAUUGACGGGGGCCCG